CAACCCAAAGUCUUUUUAUUUUCCCCUGUUUCUCUACACUCAUGUCUUUAAUCCUUGUGCUUUGUGUGGACAUGUUCUUUACUUUAAUCCAGGAGUUUUCACUGUAUUUAAUGACCUUCAGAUUUUCUUGGAUAUUUGGAUCUUUCCUGCUUCAUGUGGACUCUGUUUCGGUAAGUCAUCUUUGUCUUUUUGUUAAUCAAAAUCAUCCCAUUAUAGGCCACUACUUCUGACUCUUCUCUCUCUCAGUAGCCAUGUUUACAUGAGCAAAAUUUCUUGAACCGGUCACAAAUUUGAGGGAUCGGAAAAUCUGAAUCCACUAUAUGGGCGCAAAAUCGAAUAAUCCGCUCAUGAUGUGCAUAUACAUGCACCAAUCUUUAUUCAGAUUAGAAGCAUUUGGACAGGCGCAGAGUUGUCAGAUUUUGCAGAAGAGUUGUGUUUAUGUCUGUGCUGUCAACAAACCAACUAAGAUUAUGUAAAAUGAAAGUAAAAGUAGAUUUAGCACCUUAAAGUCAACCAAAAAAUCAAAAUGGAAGUCCAUAAGAGGUUAUUGAGCUAUAGCAAUAAUCUUUUUUUUAAUCACAACAAUAUGAUAAAUAAUCAUGUUUUCACUGAUACAUCAAAAUGGAACUACCGUUAAAAGUCUCAGAUCAAACAUCUAAUUUUGCCGCUGGAUUGGAAACCUUGUGGCAGGUUUAGAAAUGACUGGAAACCCUUGAUUGAUCGCCAAAAGGGUAAGCUUUUGAACCCAUUUGACUCCAUGGAGAAACGCAGUAUAGUUCCUGAGAAAUUGUAAACAAUACUAAUGGUGUCAUGUGGGGGCGCCGGCGAUCCAACAAAGUUCUAAGGUUUAAAUCUUCACCACUGAAUCAACCCAGAAUGAACCACACACAAAAUAUUUUAUAAUAUUGACCAGCUUCUAUCCAAUUCAGCCUAAUUAUGAGUUAUAAUCCACACUGCAUCAUUUAAAUUCAAAGUAGAUAUAAGACCAUUUUUUUAAUCCCUAUUCAGCCAAGAAAGGAAAUAAAAGAACAACCAAAAAUUCAACCUCACAUCACAACUUUUCUAUCCUACUUUCAGUAUGACGCCAUCUGUUGGCCAACAGCCAGCUGACGGUUUGCAUCCCACUUUUUUUUUACACGAUCUCAGGGGUGUGUCACAUUUAUAACACCUGCAAUUUCCCUCCGUGACAGCAUGAGUCACUUUUACUGUCAGGAAGAAGCACCGGGUGUGAAUGUAAAACUCUUGUUUCGGGGGGAAUAUUCACUCCUAACACCUUGAUGUAAAAUGUUACAUCCACGCAGCGUUCAAUUAAUGAACUUCAAGAAAGCACAUUAAGUGGCUGACAUUCACGACAAAAAGGAUUAACUGUAAUGUGAUGGCUGCAUCCUGGCACACAGACAAAGGUGUUAUGGGUGCAUAUUAUACAGUUAUUAAUUCUAUUUUCAGCACUUUUCCAGACCCUGAGAUUGCUUUUUACAAUACACUCCCCGUCCCUGCUCUGCAUAGAGUAAUUUGGAGAUAAAUUGCAAUCAUUUUGGCAAAAUGUCAGCCUUGUAAAAGGAGUAUUUUCCCUCCUGAUAACAAUUGGGGCUCUUUUGUUUUGCAUUGUCCUGUUCUUGAAAAUGUGUUGUAAUAUUUGCACACUGACUUUUUGCCUUUUGUGUCGCUGUUAUCAUCAAAUUUAGUGUCUCCAGUAACAAUCAAGGUACAGGCUACAAUAACAGGACACCACUCAAGGCUUUCUUUCUCGCCUAAUUGCUUACCUACCAUUUAAUUUUGUAAUUAACAUACAUGAAUCUUAAGCUCAUCUUAAUUGAAUUGCCUUGAUUUUAAUUAAGAGCUAUUUUAAAACUGUAAUGGGAAGCACGCGAUUCACUCUUUGUCUGAUAAAUGCGAGGGGCAGGGCAAAUGAACAUGCCUCUCCUUUAAUGAAAACCACAAGAGCCCUUGUUAAUAACGUCUGAAGUGGGCUACAAACAGAAGAAGACGCUCGUUGAACACACUGUGUUUCUAUGAUGUAUUACAGUGCAGGUAAUGUUUGACACACCAUGGGUUAAAAGAAGCAUGAUAAAAAGCAAUAAACAUGUCUCUGUCCUCCCAGGAUUCGCCUUGAUCCCCUUCUCUCAUAUCAUUUUGCCUCACUUGACAUCCCCUCUCGGGUGAUUGAUAGAAAUUAUACACUCAUAGCAGACAGACGACAAUUCCACUGCAUAUUUCUGGAAAAGGUAAUAACAGGAAAGGUGCUUUUGUCACACCGAUUUAAAUCAGAGUAACGGACCAUUAGUGUUCUCGAACAAACCUGUGCUCUGGGAGGUGAAGACAACAUCAGAGGUCGACGGUUUCCCUUCAAAGAAUAGUCCAAGUACAUAUGAAAUUACAAUUUAAUGAGCCACAUAUCUCUCAGUGAUACCCACGCUGUGCAGGCUAUAUUAGAUGCACUGUAAUGCAUUGGCGCUGUGCUGCCCCGCUGUAGAGGCUCUGGCAAUGUGCAGGCGUGGAACACACUGUGUAAUAUCAUCUCAAUGUCAUCCUAGAGAUUAUCAUGAAAUGGCUUUAGAGUUUCUGAUGAAACCGAAAGCGUGGACUAAUAAUAGCAUGAAGAAAAUAAUGCUUAAUCAACUCAGCCGAUGAAAAUGAAUGAUCAAGGGAACGGGCUUUGAGUGCUGGCAUUAGAGAGGGGGGAAAAAUCCACCCUCGGAUACUCUCACAGUGUUUGAUAUGAGCAGUUUGUGUAGUCCGGCGUAUUAUUCAAAUGAUGAACUGUUGAUAAAACGUUGGAAAUGACUAUUCUUAGUGAUCCCGCUUUCCCUUCAGCUCCUGCUUCAGCUGGUAAUUUAUGUUUCUUGUAGAACUUGAAACAACCUCUGGAGUGAACUUGUUACAUUCAAUCAAAUGUGUUUGCAUUUCCUCGGAGUGGAAAUAUAGCUAGAGAGCCUGUAUGUGAUUGCAACCACACCCCCACUCAAAACACAGGGUCUUGCGGUCUACUGAAGCUACUGUUUAUAAUGAAAUUGGUGUCUCAGCCUCCUAUAGAAUGAAUUUCUCUCUGUGUAAGAGGCAUGAUUGUUGAAAUAGUCCCUUUGACAUCAGAAGCGUAUGUUUUGAUUCAUGUUCAACGACCAAACCGAUCUUUUCGGUCAUUAAAAAUCCAAUUUAUGAAUAAUAUCACUUCACAUUUUCAGCCUUUCACUAAAAUGAAAUGUGAAAGUGUAAUUGCAAACAGCUGGGUUUGAGCGGUGUCAGACUGAGUUCUGUGAGGUUUCUCUGGUUUUUCAAGCUGGGCGUCCUCUGCUCAGAGGUGCCCUUGUAGUGCGAACCACAGCGAGACAGUGGGAGCAUUCGUGGUCUGCUGAUCUUCACAUGCCCUGCUGCUCCCUGCUGCAGGGACGGUUUUGCUCAGGCAUGAUGAUGAUGAUGAUGAUGUCUUUGCCAUGGUUGGAUAAAGAACAAAUCUAUUAUUUUUCCCAUGAGACCAAUACCAAUAAAACCCGAAUAAUGUUUAUUUUAAAAGACUGGGAGAAGGAAAAUAGCUUGGGCGAAUAAUGAAAGAUACCUCGGAGGUUUUGGAUGACUAAUGAUGCAUCAUGUCUUAUUUUUAACUAAUUUUAUCGCAGAGGAUUUAUCUCAAACAAAUUCCCUAUUUUUUAAAGUGUUUUUUAAAGAUGUUGAAUAGCUUUGACUUUGACUCCAACAGCUGAGAGUUAAAACAGUAGAUAUGAAAUCAAACAUCCCCAAAUUAAACUGCAAGUAACAAUCUCAGCUAAAUUUAAAAUACGAGGAGUUGGGAGGUGUUAUCGGACAGCUCUUAUACUUUUGUCUUAAAGUCCCUCUUGUUUUUUCUUAACCACUUAAAGUGUUCUCAGUGGUCUUUAAAGGUUUUAGCCAAAAUUUUAUCACUUGUGUAAUUUUCUAGGUCUUUUCUUCUGUAGAUCUCCAGUAGUUCAUAAGCAAUUCGCCUCUGAGUCGUGAACGGAGACGGCGCUGCUCUGCACACUCCUCUUCACGCUAGCUUACAAUCGCAUUGGGCUUGGUGUGUAUAGUCACGCACGUCAAAAUUCAUCUCUGAAUAUUUCGUAAUUUCGUGUCGUAUAUUUGCGUCAGUCCCUGUGUGUAAGGAGUUUAACAUUGCUAAUGUAAUAGAAGUAGCAGGUAGCAUAGAAGCUAUUCAGCUCUCAGACACGAAUGUCUUUGGGGACAUGAUGAAAGUGAAUAUCAUAAUUAGCUUUUUUCACGAGCAUUGCAUUUCUCUCUAUUCGUCCUAUUUUCUUCUCUAAGGGGCGGAGCUUGGAUUUGUGACAUUGGAAAUCUCACUCCAUCUGAACCUGCUGUUUAAGUGUGCCAGAGAUUAACAGUGAUUUAAAAUUAGAAAUACACAGAAAUGCAAUUUCACACUUAUUUUUCUCAUGAUAUGUCCUGUAGCAUCAGAAAAAUGCCACAUGAACAUGUAAACAUGAUUUUCAUCGGAGUGGGUCUUGAAACAGCAAGAACCCUUUAAUAUUUCCAAGGCGAACCUUCCUGCCCUCAGUUGAACUGUAACAUGACAUUUUCAUUUCGCGCAUUUGCCCUGCUUGUACAUUAAUUACACACACAGCACACAAAGUACUUGUUUUACUUCAGCUUAGCCAAAAUGUGUGUAAUCCGACAAGAAUCAUGUUCAUGCUGUGUGUCCCAAUUAGCAAAAUCGUAGGGAGCAGCCUGGUGCAAUGUAACCGUGUCACCGAGCUUUACUGUGGCUAAGAAAUUAAAACGUGCCCUUUUCCUGAAGCCUGACUCACAUCAGAUACGAUCUCGCUCUCCAUUUGUCCUUCAGAAAACAAAACUCGUCUUUAAUUCAACAUAUUGUUCUCAUAUGGCCGUGAUGGAAAAGGGAUAACAGCAACCAAAACUUGGCUCAGUGUGAAUGAUGUUUGCACAGUCUGGGUGAGAGAGGGUGUGCAUGUGUGUGUCCAUCUGUCAUAACUUGUUCAUCGCAGUUCUUUUGCUUAUUGAUUUUCUCAACAUAUCUCUUUGAGUUUCAUGUUCUGUCUCUUUCCGACUCCCUCGCCACUGAUCGAACCGAUGUCCCCGCUGACCUCUCCUCGGCUGCUCUUUUUAGACACCGGCAGGCAGCUGCUCCUUUUGUUUGUUUGGUGUUUGUCGAAGCAAAGUGAUCUCAGCUCUGUAACAUGAAGAGAUGCCACUUAUCUGCAAGAGUUUAUUGUCUGAAAAUCUUCAGUUUUUAAAAUCAUCCUUAUUUUUAAACCCACUUUCAAUCAGGUGACAAUCAAAGUUAAUGUUUUACUUGUUUUUAUUAAUAUACUAGAUGGCUAAUAUUAAAAAAAAAUCUGCAUCUUAGGCAGACACUCGGUUACAUAACUGAUUUAUUGUCUAGCUCUUAGAUUUUCCGCUCUAACUAAAUGAUUCACGCGUAUGUUGUCCCGAUGCUCCUUAAACAAUGUGAUGAGUCAAAUUAAGACUCAAUUAUCUGAAUUAUCAAUGUAGAAAAUGUGACAAUCUUAUGUAAGCUUUAAACACCCUUCUCAGAGCUUGGCAUUUCUGUCACGAUCACACACUUUGUAAUUAAAUGGUUUUGUCUACUCAUGGAUCAUUGCUUUCAGCCGAUUAACGAAUGAUAGGAAAGACUAUAUAAAUCAAAGACUACCAACCCAACUAAUUAGCUAUCCUAACCAUUACAUCCACUAACAACCGCUGGAGGUGGUUUCUCUUACAUAAUCAACUUCAUUAUUACAUUUUUUCUUUUUUCUUUGCGAUGGAUCGUAUCUGAAAGCGGGCUAGCAUAGCACGGCUGAGGAAAAACUGUAUCUUUGUAUCGUCUGAAACGCCACAUUAGAAUAAGAGACACAGAUCCAGGAAGCUUAUCAGUGCUGCUCCAGGUGAAAACAAACAUACGGGGAUGUUUUUCUCUCUUUUUUUUUGGCUCUUGUUCUCAAGGGCAAACACGGGGCUGGUUCAUUUCAAUUACAGAGUCGGGUGAAACACUCGGCUGGCUCUAUUCUAAUUUGUCUUUAUAUCAAUUAAUAAACCUUGACAGCAACAUUACAUCAAGGUACAAACUCUAAGUAUGAAGGACAUGCCUUAACUUAACGGUUAAAUUCUGCUUUUACCUUAUGUGAAUACAAAACAACCCCCUCACUCCUCCAUUGUGGUCACCUCUCAGGACACAAAGCUCCAGAGAUAAUCCACCGACUGCAAAGAAUCCGGAGCGUUUGUCUGCAGUGAGUAAAGAUUUUGCCCUCAAAAGGCUCACCUUCAGACUGCCACUAUUCUGCUCUUCUUAUAUGGGUCUGAUGCUAAUCAGUGUGGAUUGUAUUUUAUGCCUCGAGGCAGGAAAAUGUGCUGAUGAGAGGCCCACAAUAAAUGAACCUUAUCACCUAAUGGCAUCUCUGCCCACCCUUUGACUUACUGAGAAGCCUUUGCAAAAUGUCAUGGUCAGGCGGAGCACACAUGAGAUAAUUAGAGAGAAAUGACUGAUCCACAGAUCCACUGGCCACUCAUCAUCAUAAAUGCUGGAAGCAAAAUCAGGGAUUUCUAGGGAAACUUGGAACAGAUUUGAAAUAUGAUUAAUACAUCUGGUGAUGCUUUUGUAUGGAUUAAAUGUUUCAGCUCUGGUCUCAAUCGAGAGGACACCUGAAUGCAGUAGCACUGCAUUGAUGCAAUCUUAGCAGAUGUGAAAGUACUAACAACUGCAUUUCCCUGAGUGUCCACUUGAGGCUCUGACAGCACUUAUUCAAAAAGGCUCAUCAUUAGCUGCGUUUACAUGAACACAAAUAAUCGGAAUAAAGGCCCGAUCGGAAUAAAAAUUUGUCAUUUAAACAUAUUGAUUGUCAGUAUUUAAUCCAGUUCAGCUCAAUCAGAAAAAAAUUGUAUUCCGAUCGAGAAGGUUGGUUUAUGCCGAUCGUUAUUCCGAAACGCGUCCAUGUAAGCACUUAUUCUGAUGGUGACUCUCUAACCUGACUCGAUCUUCACUCUUUAGACUUUGGCUUAUUCAUUGAGGUCAGUACAGAAGGUUUCAUUAUUAACACAAUCACAGUUGACGCCUGCUCCUCCGAUAACAUAACAAGGCAUACAUAACGCGUAAUGAUGUCACAUCUGCAACAGUAAAAUAAGUACGCAAGGGCGCCAUCUAGUGACAACAUUUAACGGGGGAAAAAUCCUGGAAUACAAAAAGUUGUAAAUACAGCUCUUCUUCUUCUGUGGUUGUUUUAGCGAAAUCAGACAACUCAGGGCAUGUCCAGAUGCUUCUAAUCUGAAUGAAGUUUGGUGCAUGUAUACGCACGUCAUAAUCGGAUUAUUUGAUUUUGCGCCCGUAUAAACAAUGGAUUCAGAUUUUCUGAUCCCUCAAACUUUUAUUUGGAUCAAGAAAUUUUGCAGAUGUAAACAAAGCAAUUGUUAGCAUGUUUGUUGUCUAUUUCAACAAUGAUUUUAAACUGAUUAGCUUGUUCAUUUAUCGGCACACAGUGUACAAGGAGAUACAUUUGGUUGUAAUUCAUAAGAUUUAAAGAAAUUUAAAUGACAAGUUUAGCAGUAUAAGAGGACAGCUGUCUUGACUGACAGGUCUAAAAAGACGUUAAAUAGACGUCUGCUUGUCCUUAGAUGUCUGGGCCAAAAUCGGUCUACCUCUGGUCAAAAAAUGAACCUUUUUUUUUAGCUGUCUUUGAUUAGACUAGCCAUCUAAUAGACAAAACUACACUGUACAUUGAUCAAUGACUGUUAAAAAUGUUUUAAUCCAACAUUUGGCCAUCCCUUAUACAACUUGUAGUUGUUUUUUAUCCAAUAUUAAUAAUUAAUAGAUUAAAUUCUAUCAUCUAGAUUUGGGCUAGAAUAUAGACUGUUUAUAGACGGGCAAAUUUCUGUCUUAACUAAGACGACGUCUGAGGCUCAGUGGGCUCUUUGUCUCUUGAGUCCACAUUUUCAAUACUGUCCAUACUGUCAGAAACCAGUGGAUGACAUUUGUGGCCAAGUUAGUGUUUUUUGUACAGUCUACAUAUGCAAAAAUAAAACUUGUUAGCCAAAAAUAUCUUAAACUUUAUAAUACUCAAAUUUAUUUCAACCUUUUUCUCACAGUGUUAACCAGUCAGAGUUUUCACAUUUUGCAAUAAAAUAGCUCCAAGAAGAAAGUGUCGAGAUUUACGGCAGGCAUGUUUUCAUCAUUGUUUAGCUACGCUGGACACUCCGUCUUAAUGAAAUUGUAUUACAUGUAAAAACUUUCUCCCCAGAAUCACACAUUAUGAAGGUGACAAGUGGCUAAUUCAGUAAACUGGAGAUCGAGGUUUUAACAGUAAUUGGCCACAAAUUAACCCUCCAGGCGAUGCACAAAUCUUGACAUGCAAAAUAAAGCAUCUCCUGGCCCCAUAUGCAGGCUGUAAUAGAGUUCAUUUGUACCUUGUGCAGCCGAGAUUAUCUCUCCACCAAAGUGAGUGUAUGUGUUUUUAGGAUGGAAACGCCCCGUAGAGCAGGGCUAAGUAGGCAAUCACUCAUUCUGAGUAACGGCAGAGGUGAAAUGUAAGUAAACUCUGUGAAUGUGCAUGGCCACCCAAGUGCCAGAUGCUGAGGGCUGGUGCCAACAUGGCAUGUGAGUGACUCAUUAAAUCAGAAGAGAGGAAUCCAUUGGCCUUUCUCUGAUGGCUCUGUCGCUCAUUCAAACUAGCAGCUUCUCUGCCAGAGACUUUCUUCGAUCAGGGAAAGCAGCCAGCUGGGACAGUUCCCGAUUCAUUAUAGGCAUGAAAAUAAAUAAAAGAGGCAAAUUUUUAAAAAUAGCAUCGAGAGUGGGACCACGGGGAGGCAGCGGUGGUAUUAGAGAAAGGAAAACAGUUUCCUGUAAGCUACAGAUUAUGAAAACAUUAAGCAACAAUUACCGUAAUGAGAGUUAUUGAAGCGGCAAGGUAGCAGACAAGCUGUGUGCAUCUGGUUGCUGCAUCUGGCUGCAAGGGAAGAGCAUCAAAAGGGCAGGCAGGAAGGCAUUCAUUUCUUUUCGCCAUUCCCUCCCCGUGGAUGGAGAAAUGGCAUGUCAGUAAUUGUCAUGUACUGGGAAUGAUCUCACAGGCUGCGCGUUGAUGCAUGCGCUGCUAUGGAUAUCAAGUGCUCUGUCAGAAAUUUGGAAGAUGUCAUUUAGGGUAAAUUGAGGGAAUGGCUUUCACUGGGCAAGUCAUGUCCCUCCCUCUGUGUUAGGAGAUGAGAACAAAAUAGAUAUUAUCCACCGCUGAUAGGUUUGAAAUCUUCAUCGUUUAUAUUUGGCAGAAAUAGACUCAGAAAGCAGACAAACUUAGCUGUGCGUUAAACCAACACCAAAAUCUUGUUACAAAUGAACGCAGUCUUAGUUUAUUUGUUUAUUAAUUUAUUUGUCAUUUGUGCCUUUAAAACAUGUAACGACAUGUUUUAAUCAAUUCAAGUCCCGUCUGUGUGAUCUGAUGUGUCAUAAUGUCCUCUCAUGAGACUAGGAUUUCACGUACCGAAGCCAGUACCACAUUUCUGAGGAGUUUCUUCGUCUUUGUCAUCCUCUACAGUAAAUUGCAUGGUGCAUGUGGUGAUCACUACAAACUGACAUUUUGUGUUUUAUUCAUUUUCUGUCGCAUUCUUCCCACUUCCAGGUUUUGUCACUGGCAAUUUAGCGCACAAUAUUGAAUCCUGCUCUCACUGCACCCAGCGGCCCAUUUAAUCAGGGAGUGGGAUUAAGGCUGAGCAGCCCCAGCCCCAGACGAGACGUACAGUAACGUGACUCUCUACUAGGGACUCAAGAUGGAUGAGCUGGGCUACAGCCGGGAUGGAACGCCUCCAUUGGGCCGUUUGGCCUGGUGGAGCCCAUCAAUCAGGGCGGCACCAGAGGUCCAGGCUGAGGCUGUGUAAUGAUGCGAACAGCAUGUGGCCGAGCCAUCCCUGGCUGCUCAGGUGUGAGGGUCUGCCCCGUCCACCGGUCCUCUCAACUCCUUCACCGCUAUCAUCCAUCAUGUACCGGUCGGAUUCAUGGCAUGCAACAGAUUUCAGAAGGUUAGAUUUGAUAAAAAUAACUUAGGAUCAAACUCACGGCAGAUUGUUUGUGGAGUUGAAUGUUAAAAAUGAUGUGAUGAUAACUUAAAAAAAAAAAAUAAAUAGUUUUUUUUUUCAGGGCUUGAUUAGAAGUAAAACAUACCUGCAUAACUGCUGGUACCCUUUAGAGAAAUAAUCCAUGAGCGCCUUGACAAGCAUUUUGUUUAUGAAGACCAGACUGAUCACUUUCCUUAAAAGCGGAAGAGGAAGUCGCCAUCAGCCAUUCUUCUUUAUGCCUUCUACUCAGGGCAUGCCUCAAUCUUUCAAUAAGUUCAUUAAAGGACAUAUUUUACAGCACAUUAUGAGCUUUAUACCUCUCACACAAACAUAUUACGCUCCUGGAGGAAGGUGGCCCUUAUGAGUCCCAUAAAACAGGCCUCGUGAAUAUGAUUGUAAAAGCCGCUGCUCAGUAUGGACUCAGUGUGAGCGGAAGGUCAUUUAGUAGAAAGCAUACACGGCAAAAAUGUAUGCCUGUAAAGAUGUCUUUGGUGGAGUUUCCAAGCUGCUGAAAUACAUCUACUGCAGCCUAAUGGACUUUUUUUUACCCACUGGAAGCAGUAGUAGGGUUGCUGGGUUUGAAUUAAAGUAACCUCAUUCUUUGGUCAAGGUCUGAAGUAGGCAACUCUCCGCCCUUAAUAGCCCUGAAAUUCCAUCAUAAGAGCAAAACUCAAAUUAUUUCUGGUUUUGUUACCGGCAUAAAUUGGAUGUGCAUGUGAACCUACGUAUUAGUGACAAGUGAGAAGUGUCACAUAAAUCCACCUCUUGUCUUGUCUUUGUGUAACUGCUUGAAUCAACAAAGCAUUUUCUAGUUUUCUAAUGUAAUCAGCGUUUUUUUUUUUAAAGGUUGUAUUUAUGAAUGUCUGAAAAUUGCUUCUGCUCCUCACUGAUGAUUACCAGGUUAUGGAGGCAUAGCAAUUUCUGAUUAAAACCUCAAAUUGGAUUUGAAAAUUGGGAUUUGAUGUGUAAGGAGGGGCUUCUUCACAAUGCAUUUUAUAUGGAUUUUUCAAUUCUGUUCUUUCUCUCUGAAUUACAGGAAAUCAUUAACAAGUGUGCUUUUAAAAGGUUUAUUAAUUUGAUAUUGAUUGUUUCAUUCACAUGAAGGGGAUUUCACACUCUUCGAAAAUUGAGUGAGUAAUAUCCCUCCAAAUCCAUGUAAGCCUAUAAACCCCAGCCAACGAAUAUUUCCUGAUAGAGUUGCGGCACCUCCAGUGACUUUUUUUCUCUGUCUCAUCUUGUUAAUCUCAUCCGUAUUUGGGCAUCUAAUCAGUGAGACCUCACUGAGUGAACUUCAUAAUUAAAGAAUGUGUUAUUAUUCCGACUUUAAUUACAUAACUACGUAACUUUGUUUUAAUUAAAAAUACCCUUCCCCCAUCGGGAGCACAGUGUGAUUUACUUCUGUGUGUAAAGCUUUUUCUCAGCUUACACAUGCCAUAAUAUUCAAAAGUUUAGCAGCUGAGAUUCUGAUAUAACCUUGAAAAGAAGGAAACAGCAGUGAUGGUCUUGUCUCUAUACCUAUCACAGCAUGCAAAUUGCAAAAUGGUAUGCUCCAUUACUGCUUCAAGUUGGUUCCAAUCUCCAAGCAGCAUUUCACAUUUCCUGUACUAUGUAAAGGUAUAAAAGAGCUCAUGGCCUCUGUAAUCCCAGGGUUAAUAACAGGCUUUUAUAAAGGGUGCUGAGGGUGAACGUCCUUUUUGCAAAGAGAGGGUCAACGUCCAGAAAUUAUUAAGAUGUGUUGCCAAGACGUAAUGGGGUUCCAGCACAUUACUUACAUCUCUCCAUGUCAUUAAGUUUUGUCAGGCAUAAAAACACUCAUUUUACUAAUAUGGACAAACUAUUCUUCAUUGGCAUGGUAAUGACUGGGGAACUGUGUGCUCUCCAAUCAAGCCAUCACAAUGUCAUGCAUGACCAGAUUCAUUCGCUGCACCGCCAUAGAUGGCACUGUUGCACUGCUUUCCAGGCUGACUGACAGCACUCUGAUGUGCCAGUCAUGAAGCACAGAUUGUGGUGUCACUCCAGAUCUGUGCAUUUGCUGAAAAGCUGGGGUGCUGGAUUAGCAAUUAAACAAUCAAUAUUGCAGAGAGCUACAAAACAAGUAGAGUUCUCUGCUUCUGUAGCACUUUGUGUACAACACAAAAUUCAUCUACUUUUGUUGCAGCCAUGAGUAGCAAACAGAUGUAUGAAGUGAUGUUCUAAGGUAAAAUGAAGCACAAUGUUUUAAGUGUUAAGUUUGGCCAACGCUGAAAAGGAACAUAUUUGAAUUUCAAAUGAGACAGACUGAGGCACUUUGUCUUCAUUUUUGGUGAAGCUUCAGGUGCUUAUUGGCAGUGAAUUAUACAUAGAAAUAUGAGGUGUCAUUCACCCUGACAAGCCUAUUUUCUGCCCUGUCAUCCCAUCUGUGCGCGCUAUAUGCAUGUAUUUAUUAUAGAAUGCAGCAUGUGCUGAUUGUCAAUUCAGUCCCUCUUCCUGAGGUACCGGUUGUUGACUGUAACAAUUAUUCGGAGUUUGAAGUCAGGUUAACGAUGAAAUGACAUUUAAAACAUUUGCAUGCUCUCAUCAGAAUAACAAUAAUAACCAUAUCUCUGAGUUUUGAGCAUUUGUAAGUAAAUACUAAUGUUACUCCUGUGAGUGUUCGGCUGCUUCACUUUACUGUGGAGAUGAGAAUCAGAGCUCAGUUUUUAAAAGAAUAUAAAACACUCCAGCAAAGUCGUGAACAGCCUACACAUGGCAGGCCACACUGGCCUUCACCAGACUGCGGGUCUGCCUGGUGACUAUCCAAUUUAACAAAGUAAUGUUUUAAUGAGCUCAGCUCUGGGGGAUGGAAAUACUAUUCUCAUUUGAGAUCCUGUUUGAAAGAGAAGAUUUAAAACACCUGGUAUUGAAUAAAUGUAGAGUAACACACCAUGGCCCUGCUGACAGAGAAGAGAAUCAUCUUGUUAUCCUCAUCAGUAAGCGGUGAAUCCAAACUUUAUCUCACCGAUAAUGGCAACAUUGGCAUUUCAGUUUGGAAACAAAAUGAGAACUGUACGAAAAUGUCCCGCGGUCUAAAUCAUGCAAUGUUAAAUGUGAGCUUCAGUUCCUUGCAGUUUGGGUCAUGGGUAUUACCUCCUUACCUCAGACAUAAUAAGCAUGUCAAGCAGGCAACUUUGCUCUAGAGCUUUGACUCCUCUCAGAGUACCUCUCGACUCUGAUGUGCACGAUCACACAGGAGUGCGAUGUGUUCAGAGAUCAAGGAUAUAUGCUGUGAGACUGGCCUCAUUAAGGCCAAAAAGUUAUAGUUACCAGAGUUUUUCUCUGCUGCACAGGGUCCAUGAAUCCUUCCCAGAACCAUAUUUUUUACUUUAAAAAGCUGUUUUGACCUAUGUUCAGUUUAAAAAUAUCUAUUUUUUUUCCUGUAUUAACUGUUCCAGAAAAGAAAAAAAACACAAACUUGUAUUAUUUGUAUGUAACAGAGGUGGUCUGGCUAAAAUAGGUCCACUCAGUCUAGUUUAUUAAAAGGACAUUUAGAAAUGCACUACUUAACGCUGUCAUGUAGAAAACAGCAUAAUGUGUAUGACAAUUAUAUUGAAAUUGUCACCUUAAUAGCCUAUUUCAGAGAUAUCAUUAAGAAGUCAUCACUGAACUGAAUUGCCUUCAAGUUCAGCCAGACUGCACAUUGUUUUACUUUCUAAACGCUGUGUAAUAAUUUGUAAAUUUCUAGCUGUGGGUCUGUGAGCAUACACAAUUUUCCCUCUAACAGCAAAACACAGCUGAUUACAAAGUUGAUUUAUGCGUAUAUUAAUGGUUUUAAUGUAAAUGGCAAUCUUGCUCAGUCUUUUUAAAACGUUUGUUUUGUUAAAAAAUACUUUUCCGUCUCUAGUUCUGAUUCUAGAGAAUUAAAGAGAGAAGCCUCCAGUCACUAACUGAAAGACAGGCAGUGUAGACUGUUAUUAAACUGUAUUUUUUAGGAGUCUUUCAUGUUUUGAGGUUAUAAACAGUGCUGAGUAGUUUUUAAGAUAUGGAGUUAUGUUUACAAACAUUUUAAAAAGGUCAUUUUUAUAGCCAACAGGCUACAAUAAAAAUACAGUUAAUUAAGCAUUACCCAUAACCUCACCCCCCUGAAUUUCAAACCUCUUAAAGACUGAACUGUAACUCUUUGUAUUUUUAUUAUAAAGUGUAAUUUUUAAGUGUAAUGACAAAGUCGUUUUUAAAACGUCUCUAACGAUGUGUGAAAUCUUGGAAAUUAUUUUGAUAAUGGGAUGUUACAAAUAACGUACUGUGAACUAUGUCAGUUCAGGCUACCAUAUUUGUUUGAGUUGUCAGAGGAGUCUUCCUGCUUGCGAUAGACUGUUUAUAGAAUGGACGCCGUCUGCCUCCUUGCCGGGUGAAGCCACUCAGAGAACAGCACCCUCUGGUGACGGGCUGCUGUAUAGGUCAUAACUUUAGAAAUUUAUUACACAGAACAUAAAUAUUUCUCCCCCCGCUUGGGAUGUUGGCAUGUAGACAUCUUUUUUCUCUACAGCUCCGUUAUUAGGGGGUUCAUAUUUUCUAUGCUUGACACUUGAUAUAGCCUAUGGGCGUAUGAAGAUUGUGUAGCUUACCCGGGGGACAAGCUGUUUAAGCCGAGCAGGCAAAACCCACAGGAUCAGGAAUGGCUUAGCUCCGCUCCGGCAUGGGUCCGGUGGCCGGAUCAGAUACACAAGGCUUCUAUUUUUGCCGGACGCCAGAGCACGGUGCAUCAAUUCAGUGCAGCGCAGCAGGAGCAGCAGUGGAAGUUGUAUACGGUUAAAGAGUAAAAUAUCCGGUUAAUUUUCAAAAUAAAUUAAAGUCAAUACAUUGAACUGCUCUUAACUUGAUGAUAGGAGAGGCCAGGGUUGUGGGAUGUGGUUGUUUAUAUACACCGAUCGGCGGAUCUCAUUGUAAAAAUCCCGCGAAAACACGCGAGAGCUCGUGCGCUCCCGUCCAGUCUCGCGAGAGUUAUAGUAAUCUCGCGAGCGCUUCGCCUCCGAUGGCGGCGGAUCGUGUGGAUUUAACCUGUAGCGUCAUUACAGCGACUCUCGGCGACUCUCCCGUUGAAGGCGCACAAUGCUACUGCGCAAUGUUUGUGUCAGGAAAUGGAAAGAAAACGCGGAAAUACCGAGAGCUUUUCGGCUUCAAAUAUGUAAACUGGAGGAAGGUGGAACCGAGUUUUCCAGAGUAUAAACAGUCUGUGGUUGAGGGAGUCCUUGACAACUCGAGAUACACCUCUAAAGCAGCGGUAAGUGUCGUUAAACAACAUCCAGUGGUUUUAUCUUUUGCGUUUGUUGUGGAUUUUCCUUACAUGAAGCAGAAACGUUAGCUGCGCUGUUUGUUAUGAUUUCACCCAGGGACAAGACUGGUCUGGUUAAAUGGCGCUUUACUGGGGCUUUCCAAACUACAAAUUAAGAAAUUAAGAAAAAGAAACUAACAUGCAGUUGCCCGCCCCUUGAAAGGACAAAUUAAUUUAGACUUUAAUUAAUCUGUGAGUUUUCCGCUCCUUAUUACAGGUUUCACUUCUGUUUGUGGAAGCUUAGUCAUGCUGCCAGAGGAUGUGCAACACAUGAGUUUACUGAAUAUUAAUCCUGUUUUGAGGUGAGUUUCUGUCAUGGGGAUGUUUGUCAUUCCCCCCUGCUGGGCUUAAUAAGCUGGUGCCUUUCCCAAACCUCCUUUUCCUCAUCAUACACUUUCUUAUACCUGUCAUAGAUAAUAAUUGGCUUAUCAGUGGGGAAAUAACAAGAGCCGUGGAUAAUCUACAUGUUCUCCCUGAAGUUGAAGUGCUGUAAUUUUAUUAUUUUUUCUUUUAUGUGG